GACAGAGGAGCCAAGCGUUGUCCGGAUUGACUGGGCGUAAAGCGCACGCAGGCGGCCCGGCGCGUGGGGUGUGAAAGCUGGCGGCUUAACUGCCAGACGCCAUCCCAUACGGCUGGGCUCGAGCCCUGCAGACGGUCCAUGGAAUUGCCGGUGUAGUGGUGAAAUGCGUGAGAGAUCGGCAGGAACACCCAGGGGGAAACCAGUGGACUGG
rnacentral:rRNA from 1 species